AUUGAACGCUGGCGGCAUGCCUUACACAUGCAAGUCGAACGGUAACGGGCCUUCGGGCGCCGACGAGUGGCGAACGGGUGAGUAAUGCAUCGGAACGUACCUUUCAGUGGGGGAUAACGUAGCGAAAGUUACGCUAAUACCGCAUAUUCUGUGAGCAGGAAAGCAGGGGAUCGCAAGACCUUGCGCUGAUUGAGCGGCCGAUGUCAGAUUAGCUAGUUGGUGAGGUAAAGGCUCACCAAGGCGACGAUCUGUAGCGGGUCUGAGAGGAUGAUCCGCCACACUGGAACUGAGACACGGUCCAGACUCCUACGGGAGACAGCAGUGGGGAACUUUGGACAAUGGGGGCAACCCUGAUCCAGCCAUGCCGCGUGAGUGAAGAAGGCCUCGGUUGUAAG
rnacentral:rRNA from 1 species